UUUCGGAGAACCCAGAGAAGAUGAGAAAACCUCAAAAUAUUAUUAGUUUUAGCCGGAAAAGUCAUAAAUCUUACUCGAACAGUCGAAUGUGGCCGAAAAAUGGCGUGAAAGACCAUGGAUUGCAGUUGAACCGCUCCAAGUUCACCUGAGGACCUCAAGGUAGUGUCGAACUGGCAUGGGGUGAAGCAGAGGCCAGGAGAUGAUGAGAGGCCAUGGUUUCGGGCGAGGGAGGUGACCGAAGAAGGUGGACAGGGUCCAUCAGAGAUGAGGGGAGAGAGAAUGUUCUAGAGAGAACUAGAGAUAGAUAGAUAGAGAGAGAGAGAGAGAGAGAGAGAGAGAGAGAU
rnacentral:lncRNA from 1 species